rnacentral:rRNA from 1 species
GAAUUAUUGGGCGUAAAGAGCUUGUAGGCGGUUUGUCGCGUCUGCUGUGAAAAUCCGGGGCUCAACCCCGGACUUGCAGUGGGUACGGGCAGACUAGAGUGUGGUAGGGGAGACUGGAAUUCCUGGUGUAGCGGUGAAAUGCGCAGAUAUCAGGAGGAACACCGAUGGCGAAGGCAGGUCUCUGGGCCACUACUGACGCUGAGAAGCGAAAGCAUGGGGAGCGAACAGGAUUAGAUACCCUGGUAGUCCAUGCCGUAAACGUUGGGCGCUAGGUGUGGGACUCAUUCCACGAGUUCCGUGCCGCAGCUAACGCAUUAAGCGCCCCGCCUGGGGAGUACGGCCGCAAGGCUAAAACUCAAAGGAAUUGACGGGGGCCCGCACAAGCGGCGGAGCAUGCGGAUUAAUUCGAUGCAACGCGAAGAACCUUACCAAGGCUUGACAUAUACCGGAAACUUCCAGAGAUGGUUGCCCCUUUUAGGUCGGUAUACAGGUGGUGCAUGGUUGUCGUCAGCUCGUGUCGUGAGAUGUUGGGUUAAGUCCCGCAACGAGCGCGACCCUCGUUCUAUGUUGCCAGCACGUAAUGGUGGGGACUCAUGGAAGACUGCCGGGGUCAACUCGGAGGAAGGUGGGGAUGACGUCAAAUCAUCAUGCCCCUUAUGUCUUGGGCUUCACGCAUGCUACAAUGGCCGGUACAAAGGGCUGCGAUACCGCAAGGUGGAGCGAAUCCCAAAAAACCGGUCUCAGUUCGGAUUGGGGUCUGCAAAUCGACCCCAUGAAGUCGGAGUCGCUAGUAAUCGCAGAUCAGCAAC